rnacentral:rRNA from 1 species
UGGCGGACGGGUGAGUAACGCGUGGAAAACCUGCCGUAUACUGGGGGAUAACACUUAGAAAUAGGUGCUAAUACCGCAUAAGCGCACAGCUUCGCAUGAAGCGGUGUGAAAAACUCUGGUGGUAUACGAUGGUCCCGCGUCUGAUUAGCUAGUUGGUGGGGUAAUGGCCUACCAAGGCAACGAUCAGUAGCCGGCCUGAGAGGGUGAACGGCCACAUUGGGACUGAGACACGGCCCAAACUCCUACGGAAGGCAGCAG